AGUGAACGCUGGCGGCAUGCCUAACACAUGCAAGUCGAACGGCAGCACAGUAAGUGCUUGCUCUCACGGGUGGCGAGUGGCGGACGGGGCACGUAUACAUCGGAAUCUACUCUUUCGUGGGGGCUAACGUAGGGAAAUGUACUCUAAUACCGCAUACGUCCUACGGGUGUAAGCAGGCGAUCUUCUGACCUUGUGCGAUUGAAUGAGCCGAUGUCGGAUUAGCUAGUUGGCUGGGCAAAGGCCCACCACGGCGACGAUCCGUAGCUGGUCUGAGAGGAGGAUCAGCCACGCUGGAACUGAAGGACGGUCCAGACUCCUGAGAGAGGCAGCAGUGGGAAAUAUUGGACAAUGGGAGCAAGCCUGAUCAAGCGAUACCGCGUGGGUGAAGAAGGCCGUCGGGUUGUGAAGGCCUUUUGUUGGGAAAGAAAAGAAGGCGGUUAAACCCGCGCUGUUAUGACGGUACCCGGAGAAUAAGCACCGGCUAACUUCGUG
rnacentral:rRNA from 1 species